rfam:Methylobacterium sp. Leaf399 contig_1, whole genome shotgun sequence.
GGGCGGUUAGCUCAGUUGGUAGAGCGUCUCCUUUACACGGAGAGGGUCGGCGGUUCGAGCCCGUCACCGCCCA